rnacentral:rRNA from 1 species
CAGCAGCCACGGGAAUACAGAGGCCUCAAGCGUUGUUCGGAUUCAUUGGGCGUAAAGGGUGCGUAGGCGGUUCCGUAAGUCGGAUGUGAAAUCUUGGGGCUCAACCUCAAAACUGCAUUCGAUACUGCGGGGCUAGAGGACUGGAGAGGAGAGUGGAAUUCACGGUGUAGCAGUGAAAUGCGUAGAUAUCGUGAGGAAGACCAGCGGCGAAGGCGGCUCUCUGGACAGUUCCUGACGCUGAUGCACGAAGGCCAGGGGAGCAAACGGGAUUAGAUACCCGAGUAGUCCCUGUCUCUUAUAC